GUGUAUUAGUUAAUCAUAUUUUCAUUAUCACCAAGGAAUAUAUUAAUAAAGUAAGAUAUACCUCCGCAGAUUUAAAUUUUGAUCAACUCUUCUACCUCAUAAAAAAACACUACACUUUAAAUUAUAGUCCUCUUGAGUGUUUUGUUCAUUCCAUAACCUUGUUCGUAGAAUAGUUUUAUCUUUAGUCAACAAAUAUACUGUGGGUUGGCUGAAAAGCCAGGGAUGCUACCCAUAAGGUUGGUAUCGGAAGAAACGUUAUUCUUUCUUCUUUGUUUCAUGUUUUACACUCAUAGAAUCACUUUGUCUUCCACUCACUGUCAUGUUUACAAAAGAAAACUGGGACAUAACAUUGUACAUGGACUAUGUAAAAUCACAGGGAAGAAAUAUAUAAAUACUUCGCAAUGGUAGAUAGCGUAAGAAUAUUAUGUUCAAACUGUCAAGGGUUAAAUAAUGAAAACAAAAGAAUAGAUGUGUUUAGAAAUUUUAAAGAGAAAAAUGAACACAUUCAUUGCAUUU